rnacentral:rRNA from 1 species
AUGGCGGCUCGGCGUAGUGGCGCGGUGGUGGCGGCGUUGAUGGCCCUGCUGGUCGGGCUCGCGGGCGCGGACUUCGCGGCGGACCGGGCGGAGUGCGCGGACAAGCUCAUGGGGCUGGCGACGUGCCUGACGUACGUGCAGCUGGCGGCGACGGCGCGCUCGCCCACGCCGGACUGCUGCUCCGGGUUCCGGCAGGUGCUGGGCGUCAGCAAGAAGUGCCUGUGCGUGCUGGUCAAGGACCGCGACGAGCCCACCCUCGGGAUCAAGUUCAACGUCACCCGCGCCAUGAACCUCCCCUCCGCCUGCAACAUCCCGGCCACCUUCUCCGACUGCCCCAGUACGUACUACUCAUGUGGCAUGUCCCAUCGAUCGGCCGGUGCUGCUGCGCCGCCGCCGUGCACACUAAACAAGUUGCUUUUGGGUGCAGAGAUCCUCAACAUGUCGCCGGACUCCAAGGAGGCCGAGAUCUUCAAGCAGUACGGGAUCGAGCACGAGGGCAAGAACGCCACCGCCGGCGGCAGCGCCGCCGUCACCGGUACCUCCGGCGGGAAGAGCGCCGACGCAGCGGCCGGCGCAGGGAGGCACACGGCGGUGGUCUUCGCCGUCGUCGUCUCGGCGCUGCUCGCCUCCGUCCUUGUUCUCGCAUGA